rnacentral:lncRNA from 1 species
GCGCGCAGAGUUUCGAGAGUGUCACGAUAGCCUUUAGCGCGUUCAGUUCUCGGUGGAGAGUCAUCAUCCUCAUCCUCGUCUUCGUCGAUCGUGGCAGCCCGUAACUACGCGUUUUGAUCGACAGAGGGCGAAGGCAAGGGGACCGCGGAGGGAGACGGAGCAAUGUAUCGAGCACACUGUGUAACCAUACGUAAACGCGAAAAUACGUCUAAAAAUGUGUAUUCGAAUUCGCGAAGGAUUUUCCAAACGAGUUAACGAAUAAAAAGUGUAUUUUCAUUACGGUCGAGAAAACAAGGAUUUAUGGUAGUGCGUUGUAGCUGUCUCGAGUUUGGUGAGGAAGCCAACGGACCAAGGGGGGCUCCGGAACGGGAGGGAAAAGGGGCGAAGCGGCCGAGGGGGUGAGGGGGGUUGGCUAGGAGAGCCAAGAGAAGCAGCAGUGGGCACGACGGUGACGAGGAGUUCGGUCCUCUCGCUGCCGUUGCUUUAUUUUCCUCGUUAACGCGUUCCGCAAUGUUUUCUCUGGUUUUGCUUUGUCGUUUCGCCAUCUCUCUCUCUUUCGCGCUCGGUUAUCGUUUAAUUUACGACUCCGUAUUUUUUUUUUUCCAUCGACGAGUUUCCAACACGCGUCGUCCGCCUCUACUACUUACAUUGUACUCCUUGUCAAGGGAUUUCAACAAUCUUUCGUGUCACGAAUGCGAGAAGCGCGGCGGCGGGCCAGCCUGGCAAUGGCGACGACGACUGAACUGUGUGUGGCUCGACGGCUCCUCCGUAAGUUCUCUCUUCGGUCGCGCGUGCCCUCCCUGCCUCUCCGAGUAAAGUGCGCGGCCCUACCAACGUGCCGCGCGCGCGGCGGUGGCGGCGGCUCUCUCUCGAACGACUCGAACGCUGCGCCACUAGUGACAGAACCUCGCAACUUUCGGCCGACCCUUGUUUUCGUCGCCUCCGUAUUCCAUGUGUUCUUCGUGAGAGUCGUCUGACUGACGCUCUCGGCUCCUGAUAUAUAUACACCGACAAACGAGCGACGCGCUCUACAACCCAUCGCAGUCACCUGAUUGGACGAUACUGCUAUUCUACCCCCCCACUCUAUUCAUUUUUCUUUUCUAUCGUUUUCCCCAAUUAACCCCCACGUCGUCGGAAGCGACCAACCAAUCGGCCAGCUUUUUGCCUCGCGUCGAACCGUAGCGCGGUGAAUGUCAUGUUGUGUUGCUGCUAGUCACUCAGUCCCUUCUUUCUGACUAUACACGCAGAGUUUGAACGACUCGUGGUAAAGUACGUAAACGUCGUCAAGCUAUAAGCUGCUACUUGCGGUGCGGUGCGCAGGGGUCCGUGACGCGCUACUCUCCGCCGUAGGAGGCGACGGAGUAAAGCGCGCCUAGCCGUUCGGCACGUCCAGAGCCGCAAUAUCGCGUUUUCAGCCAUAUAACUUGAUGUCUAGACAUCGACAACAGCACCAGCAACCGAAUUCGAACGACGGAGGCAGACAGAAAAAGAGAAAGAGAAAGAGAGAACCAAAGAAUAUUAUCGUCAACUCCUUAUAAUCGUACUUUUCCCAUUUUGCUCUUUUUUUCCCCCUCGUACGCAUUUGCACAAAUGAAAAAUAAAGUUUUUCGACUCCUUGUAGUCGAAGGAACAUUUUGACGAUCAA